CCUAAAUCUCCUGCUUAGCAACGUGGAUGCACGGGACCGAAACUUCAGUUAUUGGUACUUUUACUGUGCCAUUACUUUAUAAACAACAGUAUCUUCAACUCGGUGUGAUUGUUUACUCACAGAUGGGCGAUCCCAGCUUUGCGCACAGCGCAGGAAAUUGCCUUCACCGCCGUGCACAGCGAGUUCAGCAGCGUUGUCAGCUCUCCGGUGCCUUUCGCCUUCUUGCCCUCCUCCAUAACGAACCGGGUCAUGGUGACCACGUCGGUGUCGAAGGCUCCUCGUUCAGACAUGGUGGCAGAUGGUCCUCUGAAGCCUGAGAGUAGAAGUUGCAGGAAAUGUUGCAGAACUUAAAUGCUUUGCAACGCGGAACUCAGUGGAGGGAGUGAAGACAUAAGGGCCAAUCCAGAGCUACAGGAGAGGUGUGGCCCCGCUGGAAACACGACCCGCUGCAUUUUUAGGGUGGGCCCGUCCCCGUUUCAACAGGACAGUCACAGUGUCCUACUGCACAAAGCCAGGUGAAGUGUUUUCCCCAGUUUGGUGUGGAUGAACCCCUUCAAAGAGCCCUGACCUGAUCUCAACCACAUCCUGCACCUUUGGGAUAAACUUGAAUCACCAACACCAGUGGGAAGAAACUGUCAUAGCAGCAGAUUAAUGCUAAUGAUUUUGUAAUGAGAUGUUUUUUUAGGUGCCCACAUACUUUUUGGCCAUGUAAUCCAUGUAUUUAUUUAUCCUCUUAAGUACAUAUAAAUCAAUAAAAAAAAAAGAUCUGG